rnacentral:rRNA from 1 species
GUGCUUACACAUGCAAGUCGUGCGCGAUGGUGGCUUCGGCCGCCGGAGAGCGGCGAACGGGUGAGUAACACGUGGGUGACCUACCUGGGAGCGGGGGAUAACCUGGGGAAACUCGGGCUAAUACCGCAUACGUUGGCGGGGCUUCGGCUUCGUCAAGAAAGCUGGCCUCUGACUUAAGCUAGCACUCCCAGAGGGGCCCGCGGCUGAUUAGCUAGUUGGUGGGGUAAUGGCUCACCAAGGCGACGAUCAGUAGCCGGCCUGAGAGGGUGAUCGGCCACACUGGAACUGAGACACGGUCCAGACUCCUACGGGAGGCAGCAGUGGGGAAUAUUGGACAAUGGGCGCAAGCCUGAUCCAGCAAUGCCGCGUGGGGGAAGAAGGCCUUCGGGUCGUAAACUCCUGUCAGGUGGAAAGAAAAGGCGCCGGUAAAUAAUCGGCGACGUUGACGGUACCACCAGAGGAAGCCCCGGCUAACUCCGUGCCAGCAGCCGCGGUAAUACGGAGGGGGCAAGCGUUAUUCGGAAUUAUUGGGCGUAAAGGGCGCGUAGGCGGCUCGGCAAGUCAUCGGUGAAAUCCCUCGGCUCAACUGAGGAACUGCCUUUGAAACUGCUGAGCUUGAGGCCGGAAGAGGGUGGCGGAAUUCCCAGUGUAGCGGUGAAAUGCGUAGAUAUUGGGAGGAACACCAGUGGCGAAGGCGACCACCUGGG